rnacentral:tRNA from 1 species
AGGGACUUAGGUUAUGCCAUAAACCAGGGGCCUUCAAAACCCCAAAAAGUGGAAAUCACUAGACCCUG